rnacentral:lncRNA from 1 species
UUGACCCAUAACUCAUCUCAUUUUGGCUGUGUUGUUUAGACUCUUCCUUUAUCAUCAACUGCUCUGUUUUUCUAACAUGUGUCUAUCUCCUUCUUCAGUUUCAUGGGCAACCAUUGAUUAUUUCUUACCUGCUGAUACCACUUGACUGAUCCCUAGAUCAACCUGCUUCCAUGAACUUUGGCUCCAUGAACCUGCCUAACCUGCCUCCAUGAACCUUGGCUGCAUUGCUGUCCUAGUCGGAAGAUACAUGAUGAAAAAGUAAAAGGAAAAUGGGAAAGAAAAAAAGAAAGAGAAAGAAAGGAAGGAAGGAAAAAAGGAAGGAAGAAAGGAAGGAAGAGGAACAAAUUUAUUUGCUUUUUAGUCUUCUUUGCAGACAGUAUUGACGAUGUGAAACAGCUGCGGCCAGUGAGAACUAGCCAGAAGACUGGUACUUUUGGAAAAACUUUUGUUUUCUUAAUACAUGUGCUACCUCUUGUAUAUUCCUUUGCCCCUUAUUUUUUCUU